CCACACGUGGGAGAUGGCAUGCCUCCCUGAACCGCCCCGAUCCCCUUCGGGCGCUGAUGAUGCCUACAGAAGU
rnacentral:ncRNA from 2 species